rnacentral:misc_RNA from 1 species
AAGUCGUAACAAGGUUUCCGUAGGUGAACCUGCGGAAGGAUCAUUAACACGUAUCCAACGUUAAAACCCCCCCCGUGAACCUUCAGACGUGCUCUGGUAGCCCACACGGCAUAGCAAUUCCUGGUAAAUCAUUGUCAGGAACUUCUGUCCGGUGAGAUAUACUACAGUUACCAUAGAAGCGCUAGUUCUAUCGGCAUUGUUUCCCUAAGCAGUCAGUGGCGUGAAAGUGGUCAACUGAUUGUGGAAGGAUAACGCUUAACGAUUUCGCAGCCGCUUCACGCGGGCGGAGCUUUGCCAAAGGGUCCCCAUGCCCCCUACACGUGCCGAUUUCUAUUAAAAAGCUCCAUUUUCAAUUAUGGAUGGGGUAAAACCGAACAACUGUUAACAAUGGAUAUCUUGGUUCUC